GUUACAGAUGGCUUUCUGUGCAGGAGUUUAGCAGGAGAAGUUUUGCUCCUGGGUUGCUGAAAGGGAGACGUUUUACAUGGACAAUCUAAAGACCAUUUGAAUCUCCCUCAAAGGACAUUGUAAUAGUUUCAUUCUCAACUGUCCUGGAAUUGGCACCGCUUUCUGACACUUUGCAAGCUGCUCUCAUCUCACAAUGGGAAAGGUGGGGAGCAGAAAAGGAAGGAAAGUAUUCUUGAUCAUUACUCCCACAGCCUUUGGCUUCCUGACCCUAUUUUCUCAUGUAUGGCAGUUUAAUUUUUUUCCAUCUUGAUCAUUUUGGAAUGUAUCAAAGGGUCCUGGCUUUGAACUUCAUCCUUCCCUUCCUUGGGUUUGGGGUUAUAUCACAUGACUACUAACCUACAAGCCAAGGGAACCAGUAUUUAGACAUUCUUCCGUCUGUCUGCAUAUCCCAGGG